rnacentral:lncRNA from 1 species
AGGAAAGGAAACAGUAAUCCGACACUGCUGACACUAUGUCUACUGAUAACUAAUCUAAAACCCCUUCCCUUCCUACAAGUUUAUUAUUGUAAUUUUAAUCACUCUCUGCUGUAAGCCCCGUCUGAACAGUUGUAGCUCUUACAAUAAAAUUCUUUUUAAAAAGUAAUUUUUAUUUGGAGUCCAUUUAAUUAGUGACUCAUGUCGAGAGAUGUGUUUGUGACCACGUCAACCUGAUGAUGAGCGUUCGGUCGUGUUGGGCCGUGCACGCCCGAAGCACUUUCCGAUCCAAAUAAAUUUGGAUUUUCCCGUCCUAUUCGGCCGAAUUGUUACUUCGAAUUCAGCUGUCAACCACGUGACAUCAAACGCUCACCAUUGUUUAACGGCAUUCUUUACUUUUUGUUUACCUUUUCGUUGCGUUUUCAUUUCGAUGGAUUGCGAAAUAUGAGUGCUGUUGAGAAGAACCAGACUCUUUGGGACAUGCAUGAUCCGCUCUAUCAUUGGAGAGAUGUCCAGCAUAAUAUGUGGUCGAGGAUAGCUUUAUAAAUGGAACUUCCAAUAUUUUUGUUUAUUUCUUUCCCUCCAUUUGUAUGUAAACUAAGAAUUUUCGAGCAGUAACAAGUAUUCUACAUCCAUUUGUGCUCUUUCAUGAACUGACGAAAAUCGGCUAAAGUGGACGAUGGCGUUCGGCCGGUCGUCUGUUUGGUCAAAUAGUUCGGCUGUUGAACGGCCGUCCUAGUUCGGUCCAAAUGGACGAGCAGCUAAAGCAACAAAUCUGUUAUUAAUAAGGAGGAAGAAACAAUUAUCCGUAUUAACUAAAUGCGAAGCAACAGAUCCAUGGAAACGUAUCCUCGGGUCGAAGAAGGCCCGGAUAAAAGAACUGCAAUAAAGACAGCCAAUGACCUAAUAUAAUUUAAAUGACUGAUUCAUCAUCUAUAUUCUAAAACUUGUUUAACUCUUGUUGUUAAACUCUUGAAAAUAAAUUUCUCUAAAUGCGUUCUAUUCUUAUAUUUAUCAAUAUUUUUACAAUGAAAUUUAUGAUUUUGUUGAUGUGUGAUGAUGUUUCAAGGGUUAACAUUUGAAAAAAAAGAGCCAAAUAUAAAAGAUAUUAGUGUAAUUGUAAUAAAACCGUAUCGCUUACUACAUGUAGUUCUUUCUUGUGCAACUAAACCAGGGCACACCAGGGCGAUUGCGAUAAUUAUCGGCGUCGUAUCGGUUGGAGCGACACAACUUGAUAUCGCCCAGGGUAUAGACCGUCGCGCUACAUCAGUGAAUCAUGGCGAGAGACGUGUUUGUAACCACUUCAAACUGAUGAUGAGCUUAAUGGUCGAAAUCCGAUUCGUUUUAAACAACAAAUCGGUUAUCAAUAAGGAGGAAGAAACAAUGAUCCGUAUUGACUAGAAAUGCGAAGGAACAGAUCCAUGUAAACUUAACCUAGCGGCGAAAAAGGCCCGGAUAAAAGAACUGCAAUAAAGACAGCCAAUGACCAAAUAUAACUUAACUGACUGAUUCAUCAUCUUCUUCUCAAACUUGUUUAACUCUUGUUGUUAAACUCUUGAAAAUAAAUUUCUCUAAAUGCGUUCUAUUCUUAUAUUUAUCAAUAUUUUUACAAUGAAAUUUAUGAUUUUGUUGAUGUAUGAUGAUGUUUCAAGGGUUAAUAUUUGAAACAAAGAGCCAAAUAUAAACGAUAUUAGUGUUAUUGAAAU